GAUCCUGGCUCAGGAUGAACGCUAGCUACAGGCUUAACACAUGCAAGUCGAGGGGCAGCAUCAUUAAAGCUUGCUUUGAUGGAUGGCGACCGGCGCACGGGUGAGUAACACGUAUCCAACCUGCCGACAACACUGGGAUAGCCUUCCGAAAGAAAGAUUAAUACCGGAUGGCAUAGUUUUCCCGCAUGGGAUAAUUAUUAAAGAAUUUCGGUUGUCGAUGGGGAUGCGUUCCAUUAGG
rnacentral:rRNA from 1 species